rnacentral:rRNA from 1 species
AACGAACGCUGGCGGCGCGCCUAAUACAUGCAAGUCGAGCGAGAAGACGUAGCAAUACGUUUGUAAAGCGGCGAACGGGUGAGGAAUGCAUGGGGUAACCUACCCUCGAGUGGGGAAGUAACUAGCCGAAAGGUUAGCUAAUACCGCGUACGCUCCUUGGACUUCGGUUCAGGGAGGAAAGCGAUACCGUGGGUAUCGCGCUCUUGGAUGGGCUCAUGUCCUAUCAGCUUGUUGGGAGGUAACGGCUCACCAAGGCUUCGACGGGUAGCUGGUCUGAGAGGACGAUCAGCCACACUGGCACUGCGACACGGGCCAGACUCCUACGGGAGGCAGCAGUAAGGAAUAUUGCGCAAUGGGCGAAAGCCUGACGCAGCGACGCCGCGUGGGGGAGUGAA